rnacentral:lncRNA from 1 species
CGGAUUGACAAAAUCCAUUUACGACCAAUGCUCCAAUAAGGGAGGAGAUUCUACUAUGCGAAAAAAAUGCAAUUGACUAGGAAAAAAUCGAACAAGAAACCAUUGAAAGUUCAAAUAUUGACAAAUGCUCUUUACAUUUUUUUUUUUUCAUUUACAUAAAAAAUGGUAUUUUGGAUAAGAAACACUGUAUAUGAAUCCGAUACAAAACCAAAACCUCCUCUUUUAACUCAUGCCCGAAAAGAUCAAUCCUAAAUUCCAAAAAGAGGAUGCUUAAAAACCUUUACAAAAUCUUUCAACGUAUAAACUCGCUACUUAACCAUUAAUAUACAGAAUGCACAAUGUGAUCAUGAACGUGCCAAACCAAGCCGGAAUUGGUGACAUAUAUUGAGCUCAUAUUUUGAAAGACUCGUUUUUUAUGAAAAUAUCAGAAGGGGUUAACAGCAUAUGAUUGGGAAAGCCAUGAGUGCUCAAGGGCCUGCUUUGCAGUCGGGCGCCUUUUUGGAUUAGUCUCUAGUAAGUAUAGUAAGAACUCAAUGAACCCAGAAUCAGAAACCUGCAGUUGAUGCUCCAAUAAUGUUUCCUCAGGGAUUAUAUACUCUAGCUGAUCUGUUUCCUGUUGCAGAAUUG